UUCCAGCAGCAUAAACAUAACUCGUCUCGGUUAUUGAUACGCGUACUUACCGCAGUGCAGUAUUCUUGCAUCGGAUGGGUCAGUUUAUGAUUCUUUGCCUUGCGGCCUGAGAAGAAGCAGUUCUGGCACAUAUCGAAGUUGAAGCAUUUCAAGCAGCGAUAUCUGAAAUGUUUAUACGCUCGUGUAUAUCAUAGACAGCCGCGCGAAUUUGCUGUGUACGUAAACCGCGUGAGAUCGUAGAUUCGGUCUUACCUGAACCCGGUUAUGGGAUACUCUUUGCAUAUGUUACAUUUCGCUUGAUGCUUAGCGCUCUCCGCCGCGGAGAGCCGAUGGAGCACAGGCAGCCAGACCAUGCUUUGCGGCUCCUGUUGCAACCAGCUCAAAAAGUGCACCGCCUCUAUUUCAUUUUUAUCUUUUCCAGCCUUCUCGAAACAGCUACGGACGCUGGGCUCGAUGUUUGAUCCGCCGAACGCGGCCACUUCCCCUAACUGCCUUGGUACUUGAAUACAGUCGUGCAACAGUAAACCUAGUUUCCGUUGAUCCACCAAUCUGUUCGGAUCGGCGAUCAGUCGGAACAGAUCUGAAACGGUUGGGAAUCUCGUUAUUCGUAUUCUGUAUCGCAGCAUUCCGUCGGGGUUUUUCGAGAAAAGUGGUAUCGGGGCAGCUUACAUCUAUAUUUCUCUUCCAAGUGGCCCUUGCACAACAAGACCAAGCCCACUUUGAACGAGAGCACGCGAAUCUGACCGGUUCGUUGGCUGGAAAAUAAAAAUCGAUCAGUGAAUAAUCGGUUACGUUUGUUCUACAAUAGAAUUUCAGGGAUUACAGCUUGGACCGGUUCGAUUAUUUGACGAACAAUGACAACCGAUCGCACUCACCUAUCGUACACGUUGAGAAGCCAAUUAAUGGCCAAAUCGAUGCACAACGGCACAGACACCUGCGUCGGAUUGUCAGCUGUUAUCACUUCGUACAAGGACGUCAGGACUGUCACCAUGUCCGAAUUUUGAACAUUUCACACGGAGCCGGAACGUAUGCGGCAACGAAAUGAUCAAGCACCCACUAGCUUUCGGAGCAAAAUAGAACGCGGAAGAUGAGACGCAUUGACAACGUUGCGGUGUGUUCGUUGCGGCAAGAGAUGAUUAAUCGAGAAAAUUGUGGCGAUUAAUGAACGCGCCUGGAGCAAGCUAAUCUGUGCCACACGAGCUAGAGUUAUACAUACAUGCUACACAGAAGAUUGCCAGCCAGCAGAAAUACUCACGGCACAAACGCUUCUGAACGGUGCGCAGCUUCAUCGCGGUCCUGUAUGCGGAGAAUCGUACUUCGUUCAGGUCCGCUAGAGAAGACAUCAGCUCUAUCAUCUUCGGAUGAUCCCAAUGGGUGGUCUCCGACUGAUGGCUGAAAACGUAUCAGGAUUAGGAAAUGGGUCCAACCACUUAGCGGGGAAGCGGAGGAUUACGAAAUUAAUGAAAUUCGCUGGCGAUCCGCGCCGGCACGGGAUUGGAACGGGGGGUGGAAUUCGGUCGUCAGUUUAAGGUGACUGGCUGCAGAGCAAGGAAGAUCGAUUACUUGAUAUAGUAAGGCACUUUGGCGGGUGUGAGGGCUCUCUCCCAUGGUGGUUCCACGCUGCUUGCGAGGAAAGCCUGGCUACCCGGAGUGCUGCCAUCCUUUCCAAAUCCGCUUAGCAACUUGUAACGCUCGUCAACCGCCACUUGCAGCACCUUCCACCUGCGAAAACACGUGAAAAAGUUACCGUCUCGUGAUUCCCCAUUCGAGCGACGCCGGAAGACCGAGAAGUAAGCGACUUCCAGGAUGGAAAAUCAACUUUCUACAUCGUCCGGGAAAACAUUGGGAACUGCAAUUGAAACUUGCAGACAGAUCGUUUUAUUACAAGUAAGCGAAUUUUAUUUGCAAAAGGACGAAUCCGGAGUGCAAAACCAGGCCCUACGCUUCAAUGAAUUCGUUUAUAGACACUGGAACAAUAAAACAGGAAUAUUCUGAUCUGACUUAAACUUUCUUCAAAUAUUAUAACUAAUUAAAUACAUUCUCUUGCAAGCCAAAUUCACCCUAACAGUUAUUCACUGCGACAAUUAUUUGUCAUUGAAUGUUUUUAAUUUCAGAUCGUUUUAUUACAAGUAAGCGAAUUUUAUUUGCAAAGGGACGAAUCCGGAGUGCAAAACCAGGUCCUACGCUUCAAUGAAUUCGUUUAUAGACACUGGAAUAAUAAAACAGGAAUAUUCUGAUCUGACUUAAACUUUCUUCAAAUAUUAUGAAAAAAUUGUUCGCGAAAUGGAAUCGGAAUGAAGCGGAUAGCAAGUACGACUCGCCAAAGGAUAAACGAGAUAGAUGAGAAAUGAUGAAACACAGAAAGAAGGAACAACGAAGGAACCAUGAAAGGGAGAAUGAGGAGGUGGGCUGAAGAAAUGAAAGGAAGCACAGGCAGAGCUGGAGGGAAAUGCGAGAACGGGGACAGAGUGAACAGCGAGGAGUAGAGCAAAGUGGAAAUAAUAGGCAGAAUGAAUAAAGAAAGGGAGAGAAAGGCGUAAACAGAGGACGGAAAGUCGGUUAGAACGAAGCGAGAAAGAGGCAGAAGAGGGGAAAUAGGGAAAGAGCAACGAGGAGGGAACGAAGGAAGCCAGGCCUGGGCUGUACGGUGGGAAAAAGGGUUGGGCGGAGGCAGCAUUUGCAUUCCAAAUAAACGUCGACGGCGGACGCUAAAUCGCUCUAAUUAGUCGUCCCGCUAUGAAAGUACUUUUAAGCGGCGCUUGUUCGGCAUCCAGCGGCGCGCGUUCUUAAAGCGGAAAACGAAGAAAAAGACAGCGAGAAAAGUCGAUGCCCGGAAGUUAGUAUGAGUCGCCGCCGAAGCGAACGUUGACUGGAAAGUGCGUCGAUAAAGGAUUCGAGGAACGAGACAGCAUAAACUUCUUGGUGAUUUCAUCGCGCCUGGAAUAUCAGGGGAUCAAGGGACGCGCGGCGGCAGGCGUCGAGCUGCAAUCUGAAUAAUAACGAGUUAGCAGGAAACGGUUUCUAAUAGUCUAUUGACCACUUGUUUCGUUUCCUCUCAUUAAUCACAGUUACAGUCGACGCAGAACUCGAGAACAAAGUGAAAUGCGUCUGUCCCUCGAUUUACGCGGCCCUUCUCUAUUUCAUCUUUUUACGCGGUAAAUUAUUAAAUAAUACUGUUUACGAGGUAUUUUUUUAUACGCGAUAUCUACUUACGAUCCGAAUUUACGCAUCCGGUAAAUCUUUCUAAAGCUCUGUAUGUAAAAUUUCUGUAAAAUUUCUUCUGUAAAUAUAAACAAUUAUUACGACUCUUUUAUGUAA